GAAUUCACCUGUUACAUGGGCAAAUUUGAAGAAGAUCAUGGAAUGGCUAAGCUUGGAUGUGGAUAUCUUUAUUUGAUGCCUUUCUUCUUCAAGUUGAUAUUUUAUGCAUUGUUUGUUGCAUGAUUCUAAUGUCCAAAGGAAUUUGGGUUUCUAUAUGACAUUUUUGUCUAUUGGAUUGCAGCACAUUGAUCAGAUCUUUU
rnacentral:lncRNA from 1 species